AAACCAGCACCUCAAGUGGUCAGGAUGAUUAUUGGGCCUAAAGCAUCCGUAGCCGGCUCUGUAAGUUUUCGGUUAAAUCUGUACGCUCAACGUACAGGCUGCUGGGAAUACUGCAGGGCUAGGGAGUGGGAGAGAUAGACGGUACUCGGGAGGAAGUGGUAAAAUGCUUUGAUCUCUCGAUGACCACCUGUGGCGAAGGCGGUCUAUCAGAACACGUCCGACGGUGAGGGAUGAAAGCUGGGGGAGCAAACCGGAUUAGAAACCCGUGUAGUCC
rnacentral:rRNA from 1 species